CAGGACGAACGCUGGCGGCGUGCCUAAUACAUGCAAGUCGAACGGUCUUUUCUAUGGAAGCUUGCUUCCACUGAGAAGAUAGUGGCGAACGGGUGAGUAACACGUGGGUAACCUGCCCAUAAGAGGGGGGAUAACAUCCGGAAACGGGUGCUAAUACCGCAUAGUUUUCUUGAUCGCAUGAUCGGGAAAGGAAAGACGGCCUUUGUGCUGUCGCUUAUGGAUGGACCCGCGGCGUAUUAGUUAGUUGGUGAGGUAACGGCUCACCAAGACGAUGAUACGUAGCCGACCUGAGAGGGUGAUCGGCCACAUUGGGACUGAGACACGGCCCAAACUCCUACGGGAGGCAGCAGUAGGGAAUCUUCCGCAAUGGACGAAAGUCUGACGGAGCAACGCCGCGUGAGUGAAGAAGGUUUUCGGAUCGUAAAACUCCGUUGUCAGAGAAGAACAAGUUGGAGAGUAACUGCUCCAGCCUUGACGGUAUCUGACCAGAAAGCCACGGCUAACUACGUGCCAGCCGCCGC
rnacentral:rRNA from 1 species